GUUAUUUUGGCAGAAUAGUGCAAUUGAUUUAGAAUCUUUAUAUAUAACAGUGGUUAUAAAUAACA
rnacentral:tRNA from 1 species